rnacentral:tRNA from 1 species
GAGGAUAUAGCUCAGUGGUAGAGCACGUGCUUAGCUUGCACGAGGUCCUGGCUUCAAUCCCCAGUACCUCCA